rnacentral:tRNA from 1 species
AGGGGCGUACCCCAAUUGGCAGAGGGAGCACGUUAAGACCGUGUCGAGUGAGAGUUCGAAUCUCUCCGCCCCUACCA